UUAUGGCAGGUUAAAUAAAAAGUUUAGGUCGCGAAUAACUUUUUUGCCCGACAUCGGAGCACAUGGUCGUGGAAGACUUUUAGCUUGCAUUUGUCGAGAUCUAUCCAAAUCACAAAGAAAAUCCAAAAUCGGUCGGUAAAUGACUGAGAUAUGGGCAAAAAUAGGUUGAAACGUGGCACCGGGGUUGAACGGGGUUGAAAUAGGUUGAAAUAGAGGUUUUUCGCGAAUAACUUUUGUGCCCUACGUCUGAGCACAUGGGUGUAAAAUACUUUUUGGUAGAAUUUCACGAGAUGUAACUAAAACAGAAGAAAUUUUGGAAAAAUGUUGAAAAUUCACCGAGUUACAUCGAAGAAUAGGUGCAAAUGUGAACAUUUUGUAUGGAAAACAACACUUGGUGCACCAAACUUUGUACCGCGAAUAACUUUUUUGCCCGGCAUCGGAGCGCAUUGUCGUGGAACAACUUUUUGUAGCGCGUCACGAGACGCAUCUAAUUCUGAAGAAAGAUCGAGAAAAUGUUGAAAAUUGGCCGAGUUAUGGCAGGUGAAAGAAAAAGCUUAGGUCGCGAAUAACUUUUUUGCCCGACAUCGGAGCACAUGGUCGUGGAAGACUUUUAGCUUGCAUUUGUCGAGAUCUAUCCAAAUCACAAAGAAAAUCCAAAAUCGGUCGGUAAAUGACUGAGAUAUGGGCAAAAAUAGGUUGAAACGUGGCACCGGGGUUGAACGGGGUUGAAAUAGGCACCUUACUCGGUGGACACAAAUCGGUACAUAAAACAGGUUUUUCGCGAAUAACUUUUGUGCCCUACGUCUGAGCACAUGGGUGUAGAAUACUUUUUGGUAGAAUUUCACGAGAUGUAACUAAAACAGAAGAAAUUUUGGAAAAAUGUUGAAAAUUCACCGAGUUACAUCGAAGAAUAGGUGCAAAUGUGAACAUUUUGUAUGGAAAACAACACUUGGUGCACCAAACUUUGUACCGCGAAUAACUUUUUUGCCCGGCAUCGGAGCGCAUUGUCGUGGAACAACUUUUUGUAGCGCGUCACGAGACGCAUCUAAUUCUGAAGAAAGAUCGAGAAAAUGUUGAAAAUUGGCCGAGUUAUGGCAGGUGAAAGAAAAAGCUUAGGUCGCGAAUAACUUUUUUGCCCGACAUCGGAGCACAUGGUCGUGGAAGACUUUUAGCUUGCAUUUGUCGAGAUCUAUCCAAAUCACAAAGAAAAUCCAAAAUCGGUCGGUAAAUGACUGAGAUAUGGGCAAAAAUAGGUUGAAACGUGGCACCGGGGUUGAACGGGGUUGAAAUAGGUUGAAAUAGAGGUUUUUCGCGAAUAACUUUUGUGCCCUACGUCUGAGCACAUGGGUGUAGAAUACUUUUUGGUAGAAUUUCACGAGAUGUAACUAAAACAGAAGAAAUUUUGGAAAAAUGUUGAAAAUUCACCGAGUUACAUCGAAGAAUAGGUGCAAAUGUGAACAUUUUGUAUGGAAAACAACAGUUGGUGCACCAAACUUUGUACCGCGAAUAACUUUUUUGCCCGGCAUCGGAGCGCAUGGUCGUGGAACAACUUUUUGUAGCGCGUCACGAGACGCAUCUAAUUCUGAAGAAAGAUCGAGAAAAUGUUGAAAAUUGACCGAGUUAUGGCAGGUGAAAGAAAAAGUUUAGGUCGCGAAUAACUUUUUUGCCCGACAUCGGAGCACAUGGUCGUGGAAGACUUUUAGCUUGCAUUUGUCGAGAUCUAUCCAAAUCACAAAGAAAAUCCAAAAUCGGUCGGUAAAUGACUGAGAUAUGGGCAAAAAUAGGUUGAAACGUGGCACCGGGGUUGAACGGGGUUGAAAUAGGUUGAAAUAGAGGUUUUUCGCGAAUAACUUUUGUGCCCUACGUCUGAGCACAUGGGUGUAGAAUACUUUUUGGUAGAAUUUCACGAGAUGUAACUAAAACAGAAGAAAUUUUGGAAAAAUGUUGAAAAUUCACCGAGUUACAUCGAAGAAUAGGUGCAAAUGUGAACAUUUUGUAUGGAAAACAACAGUUGGUGCACCAAACUUUGUACCGCGAAUAACUUUUUUGCCCGGCAUCGGAGCGCAUGGUCGUGGAACAACUUUUUGUAGCGCGUCACGAGACGCAUCUAAUUCUGAAGAAAGAUCGAGAAAAUGUUGAAAAUUGACCGAGUUAUGGCAGGUUAAAGAAAAAGUUUAGGUCGCGAAUAACUUUUUUGCCCGACAUCGGAGCACAUGGUCGUGGAAGACUUUUAGCUUGCAUUUAUCGAGAUCUAUCCAAAUCACAAAGAAAAUCCAAAAUCGGUCGGUAAAUGACUGAGAUAUGGGCAAAAAUAGGUUGAAACGUGGCACCGGGGUUGAACGGGGUUGAAAUAGGUUGAAAUAGAGGUUUUUCGCGAAUAACUUUUGUGCCCUACGUCUGAGCACAUGGGUGUAGAAUACUUUUUGGUAGAAUUUCACGAGAUGUAACUAAAACAGAAGAAAUUUUGGAAAAAUGUUGAAAAUUCACCGAGUUACAUCGAAGAAUAGGUGCAAAUGUGAACAUUUUGUAUGGAAAACAACAGUUGGUGCACCAAACUUUGUACCGCGAAUAACUUUUUUGCCCGGCAUUGGAGCGCAUGGUCGUGGAAUAACUUUUUGUAGCGCGUCACGAGACGCAUCUAAUUCUGAAGAAAGAUCGAGAAAAUGUUGAAAAUUGGCCGAGUUAUGGCAGGUGAAAGAAAAAGCUUAGGUCGCGAAUAACUUUUUGCCCGACAUCGGAGCACAUGGUCGUGGAAGACUUUUAGCUUGCAUUUGUCGAGAUCUAUCCAAAUCACAAAGAAAAUCCAAAAUCGGUCGGUAAAUGACUGAGAUAUGGGCAAAAAUAGGUUGAAACGUGGCACCGGGGUUGAACGGGGUUGAAAUAGGUUGAAAUAGAGGUUUUUCGCGAAUAACUUUUGUGCCCUACGUCUGAGCACAUGGGUGUAGAAUACUUUUUGGUAGAAUUUCACGAGAUGUAACUAAAACAGAAGAAAUUUUGGAAAAAUGUUGAAAAUUCACCGAGUUACAUCGAAGAAUAGGUGCAAAUGUGAACAUUUUG